UAUUUACGAAUUGACAUACACGACAUUCCCAGUUCCAGACUUGCACUCCUUCCCACCCCUUUCUUCCUUCUAUCUCCCACUACUUUCGGUUGGUUACACACUUACACCUUCCUUCUCAUUCUCUCCACAAUCUCAAUUACUCAAUCAAAUUCAUCAAACAAAAAAGAAAAUGUCUCUCUCGAAAACUGCAUCUGCAUCUGAUGCUUCCGUUCACUCCACUCUCUCUUCCAGAUUUGUUCGGGCCUAUCUACCCAGAUUUCAGAUAGAUCGAUACCGAUGGAAGCAGCUUAUCAAAUCCAAGGUUGAAUUUGGCUAAAUUGAAGGAUUUCCUUCAAUCUAAAACUAGGGUUUCUUAAUUGGGCUUCUUCUCUGUCGACUUCUACUUCUUAUCUAGGGCACAUAGUUCCCGACGGAUGUGUGGUUGAAUUAUCAAUUGUGACUAUCCAAGUGCUUAACGGUUGUGGAUCAAAGGGAAAUUAGCACUAACAAUAAAAUCUAUGCUGACUAGUUUGGGGAUUUCAUAUGAUUGUAGGUGAUAGAUACACCAAGUAGCUUUUUGAGCAAAGAAGAAUUCAAGAAUACUAUCUAAUGUUUGACACUGAGUUUUUGUUCAUGAGCUGGGUAUAAGAACGGGGGAGUUAGAUGCUGAAGGUCUUGAGCUGCUUCAGCAACGUCGUCGUUUCGAAGAGCCUUAUGAGACGGUUGUGAGAUUAAUUCCAAUAAUAUCAGAUGUUUAUCAAGUGAUUAUAUGAGAUUAAAAGGGUUGGGAGAAGAAACUAUUGUUUAUGAAGCCUUUGAUAAAGGGAAGAAACCUUGGAUUGAUCAAUUGAAUCUUAGAAUAGCACCCACUAAACUUCAUUUGUAGCUAGGUACAAGGGUGAUGCUACUAAAGAACUUAAGUCUGAAGGGCAGAUUGGUGAAUGGUACUACUGGUACAAUUACAGGUUUUAAAAAGUCACGUAAGAGCGAUGUUGCGAAGAUAUGUGAACAUAAACUUUUGCCAUUUUGUAAUUUUAGUGUGUUAAAUUUAAGUUAAUAGAAUUAUACUUCCUCCGUCUUUUAAUACUCGCAACGUUUGUUAGUUUCACGCAUGCCAAUGCACAACUUUGAUCAUUUAUAUCUUAAAUUCUCUUUAUGCAAAAAUUAUAAAAAGUUAAUAUUUUGAAAAUACACGUUGAGACGAAUCUAACAAGAUCUCACAUGACUAUGUUUUAUCUUAUAUAAAAAGCACUAAGAAUAGUCAAAGUAGAUUAUAUGAAUAGUGGCAAAAGUCCAAACGUUGCGAGUAUUAAAAGACGGAGGAAGUAUAACAUUUAUAGUUCUUUGUUUUUUUCGAAGAUAAUAGAUUGUUGUAUAUUAUUUUUAAGUUAUGAGACAGUGAGACGCACAUUUGAUAUGAUAGAAAUGAAAUUAGACCGUAUAUAUCAUUUCAAUUGUUAAAUUAGCAUAAGCUUUAAA